rnacentral:ncRNA from 1 species
AAUUAUGUUUGAUUCUGGUAUUUAAAUUUAAUUAAUGGAUUAAGUUAUAUAUGUAUUUAUGAAAUUUUUUAAUAUAGUAAUUAGUAUUUAUAAAUUUAUUUGUUUAAAUUUAGUAAAUUUUAUAUAUGUUGAUAAAUCUUGUGCCAGCAUUCGCGGUUAAACAAGUAAACGUUAGUUAAAUUUUUUUUAUUAAAAUGUAUUAUUUAUAUGAAAUUAAUAAUUUUUUGCUUAGGUGGAAUUUGUAAUAAAUAUAUAUGUUCAUAAUUUAUUUAUUGUAAACUCUAUAUUUAAAAUAGGAUUAGAUACCCUAGUAUUUUGAGCGUAAAUGUAUAAGAAUAAAAGUAGAAUUAUUCUUCAUAACUCAAAGAAUUUGGCGGCUGACCUAAAUUUUAGAGGAACCUGUAUAUUAAUUGAUAAACCACGAUAGUUUUUACUAUUUUUUUAUUUAUAUAUCUCUAUAUUAUGAAUGUUUUUUAUAAAAAUUUUCUUUUUGUCUGUACAUUAAUAUUAGGUCAAGGUGUAGUUUUAAAAUAGUUUAUAUGGGUUACUUUAGUGUAUAUUUUAUAUUCAACUGAUGAUAAUAUUAUAGUUUAUUUAGGAUUUAAUAGUAAUUUUUAUUUAUUUAUAAAUAUGAAUUUUGUAUUGGUUGGUGUACAUAUUGCCCGUCACUCCUAUACAGGAUAAGUCGUAACAAAGUAACCCUACCGGAAGGUAGGGUUAGAAGCUU